AUUGAACGCUGGCGGCAGGCUUAACACAUGCAAGUCGAGCGGGGGAAGGUAGCUUGCUACCGGACCUAGCGGCGGACGGGUGAGUAAUGCUUAGGAAUCUGCCUAUUAGUGGGGGACAACAUCUCGAAAGGGAUGCUAAUACCGCAUACGUCCUACGGGAGAAAGCAGGGGAUCUUCGGCCCUUGCGCUAAUAGAUGAGCCUAAGUCGGAUUAGCUAGUUGGUGGGGUAAAGGCCUACCAAGGCGACGAACUGUAGCGGGUCUGAGAGGAUGAUCCGCCACACUGGGACUGAGACACGGCCCAGACUCCUACGGGAGGCAGCAGUGGGGAAUAUUGGACAAUGGGGGGAACCCUGAUCCAGCCAUGCCGCGUGUGUGAAGAAGGCCUUAUGGUUGUAAAGCACUUUAAGCGAGGAGGAGGCUACUCUAGUUAAUACCUAGGGAUAGUGGACGUUACUCGCAGAAUAAGCACCGGCUAACUCUGUGCCAGCCGCCGCCGUAA
rnacentral:rRNA from 1 species